GGACGUGAGGUUGAUCUGGCUGCGACAUCUGUCACCCCAUUGAUCACCAGGGAUGAUUCAGCUGAUCUGGCCAGCUUGACGGGUAUCCCCUUCCUCCCUCACCAUUCUAUGUGCAUCCCUCCUGAACCUGCGCGUUCGGUCAAAGAGGAUGACCUUCCCCGAAUAGAGAUGGACCAGUCUUCGGUGGAGAGUAUAUGAGUAGCUGUAUUUCCCUGCUAGAUCCUCCAAAUAAGCUCCUGAGAAAGUCUGUUUGUUCAUGCAUACGUUUAUCCAUCAAAACAUUACUGAAUGUUU
ensembl:misc_RNA 7SK 7SK RNA